UACGUAGGGGGCAAGCGUUGUCCGGAAUCAUUGGGCGUAAAGAGCGUGUAGGCGGCUCGGUAAGUCCGCUGUGAAAGUCCAGGGCUCAACCCUGGAAUGCCGGUGGAAACUGUCGAGCUCGAGUCCGGAAGAGGCGAGUGGAAUUCCUGGUGUAGCGGUGAAAUGCGCAGAUAUCAGGAAGAACACCCGUGGCGAAAGCGGCUCUCUAGGACGGUACUGACGCUGAGACGCGAAAGCGUGGGGAGCGAACAGG
rnacentral:rRNA from 1 species